rnacentral:rRNA from 1 species
GAUGAACGCUGGCGGCGUGCCUAAUACAUGCGAGUCGAGCGAACAGACGAGGAGCUUGCUCCUCUGACGUUAGCGGCGGACGGGUGAGUAACACGUGGAUAACCUACCUAUAAGACUGGGAUAACUUCGGGAAACCGGAGCUAAUACCGGAUAAUAUAUUGAACCGCAUGGUUCAAUAGUGAAAGACGGUUUUGCUGUCACUUAUAGAUGGAUCCGCGCCGCAUUAGCUAGUUGGUAAGGUAACGGCUUACCAAGGCAACGAUGCGUAGCCGACCUGAGAGGGUGAUCGGCCACACUGGAACUGAGACACGGUCCAGACUCCUACGGGAGGCAGCAGUAGGGAAUCUUCCGCAAUGGGCGAAAGCCUGACGGAGCAACGCCGCGUGAGUGAUGAAGGUCUUCGGAUCGUAAAGCUCUGUUAUUAGGGAAGAACAAAUGUGUAAGUAACUAUGCACGUCUUGACGGUACCUAAUCAGAAAGCCACGGCUAACUACGUG